ACUGCUGGAUCAUUCUGGUUCAAGGUUAACUGCCCUUGCGCUUGCUGCUUCCCCUCCCCUGCUACUUUCACUGGUUCAACCCCAUACCAUAGGCAAUUGGCACAGGAUCUGAUGCCCUAACUUCGGCUACUAGCUUUGAUGCUGCUUCUCGCACCCCUUCCCCAGAUGCUGGGUAGCCUAGGCCUGAAGCGACUAGCUUAGUUAUCCUAAAAACACCAUAUGGAUUUUGCAGGAAUGUCAUUAGGCGAGGUGCUGGGUAAGAUGCUGAUCGAAUUGGCAAAAAUGUUAGCUUGGACUCGUCCCCUGGGAUUUACUAUUCGCCUUUCCCUGAUGGUUCUACAUUCCAAUGUGGGUAGGAUUAGCCGACAGCGGAUGAGCGACCUGGGAGAGCCUUGAAUGGACUUGGCCUGAGGGACCUUACCCUACACCUUAUAUAAAC
rnacentral:lncRNA from 1 species